GCAAGUCGCACGAUGAUGCCCAGCUUGCUGGGCGGAUUAGUGGCGAACGGGUGAGUAAUACGUGAGUAACCUGCCCUUGACUCUGGGAUAAGCCUGGGAAACUGGGUCUAAUACUGGAUACUACCUCUUACCGCAUGGUGGGUGGUGGAAAGGGUUUUACUGGUUUUGGAUGGGCUCACGGCCUAUCAGCUUGUUGGUGGGGUAAUGGCUCACCAAGGCGACGACGGGUAGCCGGCCUGAGAGGGUGACCGGCCACACUGGGACUGAGACACGGCCCAGACUCCUACGGGAGGCAGCAGUGGGGAAUAUUGCACAAUGGGCGGAAGCCUGAUGCAGCGACGCCGCGUGAGGGAUGACGGCCUUCGGGUUGUAAACCUCUUUCAGUAGGGAAGAAGCGAGAGUGACGGUACCUGCAGAAGAAGCGCCGGCUAACUACGUGCCAGCAGCCGCGGUAAUACGUAGGGCGCAAGCGUUGUCCGGAAUUAUUGGGCGUAAAGAGCUCGUAGGCGGUUUGUCGCGUCUGCUGUGAAAGCCCGGGGCUCAACCCCGGGUCUGCAGUGGGUACGGGCAGACUAGAGUGCAGUAGGGGAGACUGGAAUUCCUGGUGUAGCGGUGAAAUGCGCAGAUAUCAGGAGGAACACCGAUGGCGAAGGCAGGUCUCUGGGCUGUUACUGACGCUGAGGAGCGAAAGCAUGGGGAGCGAACAGGAUUAGAUACCCUGGUAGUCCAUGCCGUAAACGUUGGGCACUAGGUGUGGGGGACAUUCCACGUUUUCCGCGCCGUAGCUAACGCAUUAAGUGCCCCGCCUGGGGAGUACGGCCGCAAGGCUAAAACUCAGAGGAAUUGACGGGGGCCCGCACAAGCGGCGGAGCAUGCGGAU
rnacentral:rRNA from 1 species